CUCCGUAGGUGAACCUGCGGAGGGAUCAUUACACAAAUAUGAAGGCGGGCUGGAACCUCUCGGGGUUACAGCCUUGCUGAAUUAUUCACCCUUGUCUUUUGCGUACUUCUUGUUUCCUUGGUGGGUUCGCCCACCACUAGGACAAACAUAAACCUUUUGUAAUCGCAAUCAGCGUCAGUAACAAAUUAAUAAUUACAACUUUCAACAACGGAUCUCUUGGUUCUGGCAUCGAUGAAGAACGCAGCGAAAUGCGAUAAGUAGUGUGAAUUGCAGAAUUCAGUGAAUCAUCGAAUCUUUGAACGCACAUUGCGCCCUUUGGUAUUCCAAAGGGCAUGCCUGUUCGAGCGUCAUUUGUACCCUCAAGCUUUGCUUGGUGUUGGGCGUCUUGUCUCUAGCUUUGCUGGAGACUCGCCUUAAAGUAAUUGGCAGCCGGCCUACUGGUUUCGGAGCGCAGCACAAGUCGCACUCUCUAUCAGCAAAGGUCUAGCAUCCAUUAAGCCUUUUUUUCAACUUUUGACCUCGGAUCAGGUAGGGAUACCCGCUGAACUUAAGCAUAU
rnacentral:rRNA from 1 species